rnacentral:rRNA from 1 species
AUAACCCAGGGAAACUUGGACUAAUACCGUAUACGUCCGAGAGGAGAAAGAUUUAUCGGAGUUAGAUGAGCCCGCGUUGGAUUAGCUAGUUGGUGGGGUAAAGGCCUACCAAGGCGACGAUCCAUAGCUGGUCUGAGAGGAUGAUCAGCCACACUGGGACUGAGACACGGCCCAGACUCCUACGGGAGGCAGCAGUGGGGAAUAUUGGACAAUGGGCGCAAGCCUGAUCCAGCCAUGCCGCGUGAGUGAUGACGGCCUUAGGGUUGUAAAGCUCUUUCAACGGUGAAGAUAAUGACGGUAACCGUAGAAGAAGCCCCGGCUAACUUCGUGCCAGCAGCCGCGGUAAUACGAAGGGGGCUAGCGUUGUUCGGAAUUACUGGGCGUAAAGCGCACGUAGGCGGAUACUUAAGUCAGGGGUGAAAUCCCGGGGCUCAACCCCGGAACUGCCUUUGAUACUGGGUAUCUAGAGUAUGGUAGAGGUGAGUGGAAUUCCGAGUGUAGAGGUGAAAUUCGUAGAUAUUCGGAGGAACACCAGUGGCGAAGGCGGCUCACUGGACCAUUACUGACGCU